AGUGGAUGGGGAACAACCUAGUUGUGCGUGUGUAAAGGUAGUGCCAAGAAAAGCGGUGAUCAUGAUGAAAAUCAAUUCCCGGUACCCGAAACCGACACAGGUGGGCAAGUAGAGAAUACUAAGGGGCGCGAGGUAACUCUCUCCAAGGAACUCGGCAAAAUGACCCCGUAACUUAGGGAGAAGGGGUGCCACCGAGAGGUGGUCGCAGUGAAGAGGCCCAGGCGACUGUUUAGCAAAAACAUAGGUCUCUGCAAACUCGAAAGAGGAGGUAUAGGGGCUGACGCCUGCCCAGUGCCGGAAGGUUAAAGAAGUUGGUCAGUCUUAGGAUGAAGCAUAACUGGAGCCCUGGUGAACGGCGGCCGUAACAAUAACGGUCCUAAGGUAGCGAAAUUCCUUGUCGGGUAAGUUCCGACCCGCACGAAAGGCGUAACGAUCUGGGCGCUGUCUCGGAGAGAGGCUCGGCGAAAUAGGAUUGUCUGUGAAGAUACGGACUACCUGCAUUUGGACAGAAAGACCCUAUGAAGCUUUACUAUAGCUUGGAAUUGUGUUCGGGCUUCCUGUGCGCAGGAUAGGUGGGAGGCGUAGAAGGUAUUCUUGUGGGGAUACUGGAGCCAACGGUGAGAUACCACUCUCAGGAGGCUAGAAUUCUAACUUAAUUAAGGACAGUUUCAGGUGGGUAGUUUGACUGGGGCGGUCGCCUCCAAAAAGGUAACGGAGGCGUACAAAGGUUCCCUCAGACUGGUUGGAAAUCAGUCGCAGAGUGCAAAGGCAGAAGGGAGCUUGACUGCGAGAAGUACAGUUCGAGCAGGGUGGAAACACGGUCUUAGUGAUCCGACGGUGCUGUGUGGAAGGGCCGUCGCUCAACGGAUAAAAGUUACUCUAGGAUAACAGGCUGAUCUCCCCCAAGAGUUCACAUCGACGGGGAGGUUUGGCACCUCGAUGUCGGCUCAUCGCAACCCGGGGCGGAAGUACGUCCCAAGGGUUGGGCUGUUCGCCCAUUAAAGCGGUACGUGAGCUGGGUUCAGAACGUCGUGAGACAGUUCGGUCCAUAUCCGAUGUAGGCGUGAGAAUAUUGAGAGGAGCCUUCCUUAGUACGAGAGGACCGGGAAGGACGCACCGCUGGUGUACCUGUUAUGAUGCCAAUUGUAAACGCAGGGUAGCCAAGUGCGGAGAGGAUAACCGCUGAAAGCAUCUAAGUGGGAAGCCCACCUCAAGAUGAGUAUUCUGGUGUAAGGUCACGGGAAGACGACCCGUAAAUAGGCACGAGGUGGAAGUGCAGAGAUGUAUGAAGCCGAAGUGUACUAAUAGACCGUCGGCUUGAUA
rnacentral:rRNA from 1 species